AUCCAGAUGACGAGUCCAGAAUAGGACGAAAUACGCAUCUUGAAU
rfam:Trichobilharzia regenti genome assembly, scaffold: TRE_scaffold0001305